AUACGAAGGGGGCUAGCGUUGUUCGGAAUCACUGGGCGUAAAGCGCACGUAGGCGGAUUCGUUAGUCAGCGGUGAAAGCCCGGGGCUCAACCCCGGAACUGCCCCUGAUACUGCGAAUCUCGAGUCCGGAAGAGGUGAGUGGAAUUCCUAGUGUAGAGGUGAAAUUCGUAGAUAUUAGGAAGAACACCAGUGGCGAAGGCGGCUCACUGGUCCGGUACUGACGCUGAGGUGCGAAAGCGUGGGGAGCAAACAGGAUUAGAAACCCGAGUAGUCC
rnacentral:rRNA from 1 species